AGAGUUUGAUCCUGGCUCAGAACGAACGCUGGCGGCAGGCCUAACACAUGCAAGUCGAACGAGAAGCCACCUUCGGGUGGUGGACAGUGGCAGACGGGUGAGUAACGCGUGGGAACGUGCCUUUCGGUUCGGGAUAACCCAGGGAAACUUGGGCUAAUACCGGAUACGCCCUUCGGGGGAAAGAUUCAUCGCCGAAAGAUCGGCCCGCGUCGGAUUAGCUAGUUGGUGGGGUAAUGGCCUACCAAGGCGACGAUCCGUAGCUGGUCUGAGAGGAUGACCAGCCACACUGGGACUGAGACACGGCCCAGACUCCUACGGGAGGCAGCAGUGGGGAAUAUUGGACAAUGGGCGCAAGCCUGAUCCAGCCAUGCCGCGUGGGUGAAGAAGGCCUUAGGGUUGUAAACCCCUUUCAGCGGGGAAGAUAAUGACGGUACCCGCAGAAGAAGUCCCGGCUAACUCCGUGCCAGCAGCCGCGGUA
rnacentral:rRNA from 1 species